CACGUAGGCACCAAGCGUUGUCCGGAUUUAUUGGGCGUAAAGAGCUCGUAGGCGGUUCGGUAAGUCGGGUGUGAAAACUCUGGGCUCAACCCAGAGCCGCCACCCGAUACUGCUGUGACUCGAGUGCGGUAGGGGAGCGGGGAAUUCCUGGUGUAGCGGUGAAAUGCGCAGAUAUUCGGAGGAACCCCAGUGGCGAAGGCGGCUCACUGGUCCGGUACUGACGCUGAGGUGCGAAAGCGUGGGGAGCAAACAGG
rnacentral:rRNA from 1 species